AUCAUGGCUCAGGAUGAACGCUGGCGGCGUGCUUAACACAUGCAAGUCGAGCGAAGCACUUAGGAAAGAUUCUUCGGAUGAUUUCCUAAGUGACUGAGCGGCGGACGGGUGAGUAACGCGUGGGUAACCUGCCUCAUACGAGGGGGAUAACAGUUAAGAAAUGACUGCUAAUACCGCAUAAGGCCACAGCACCGCAUGGUGCGAGGGGUAAAACUCCGGUGGUAUGAGAUGGACCCG
rnacentral:rRNA from 1 species